AGAGUUUGAUCAUGGCUCAGGAUGAACGCUGGCGGCGUGCUUAACACAUGCAAGUCGAACGGAACUCUUUGGAUCGAGGCUUCGGCCAAGUGAAUCUGAGUUUAGUGGCGGACGGGUGAGUAACGCGUGAGGAACCUGCCUUUCAGAGGAGAAUAACAGUUGGAAACGACUGCUAAUACCGCAUAACGCAUAGGGAUCGCAUGAUUCUUAUGCCAAAGAUUAUAUCGCUGAAAGAUGGCCUCGCGUCUGAUUAGCUUGUUGGCGGGGUAACGGCCCACCAAGGCGACGAUCAGUAGCCGGACUGAGAGGUUGGCCGGCCACAUUGGGACUGAGAUACGGCCCAGACUCCUACGGGAGGCAGCAGUGGGGAAUAUUGGGCAAUGGGCGCAAGCCUGACCCAGCAACGCCGCGUGAAGGAAGAAGGUCUUCGGAUUGUAAACUUCUUUUAACAGGGACGAUAGUGACGGUACCUGUUGAAUAAGCUCCGGCUAACUACGUGCCAGCAGCCGCGGUAAUACGUAGGGAGCGAGCGUUAUCCGGAUUUACUGGGUGUAAAGGGCGUGUAGGCGGGAUUGCAAGUCAGAUGUGAAAACUCCGGGCUCAACUCGGAGCCUGCAUUUGAAACUGUAGUUCUUGAGUGAUGGAGAGGCAAGCGGAAUUCCUAGUGUAGCGGUGAAAUGCGUAGAUAUUAGGAGGAACACCAGUGGCGAAGGCGGCUUGCUGGACAUUAACUGACGCUAAGGCGCGAAAGCGUGGGGAGCAAACAGGAUUAGAUACCCUGGUAGUCCACGCCGUAAACG
rnacentral:rRNA from 1 species